rnacentral:lncRNA from 1 species
AAUGACUUUUUUCUCAAUUAGCUGCCCCAUCUGGUCAAAUGGGGAUUUUUGCUGUGGGUUGGUUGGUUGGUUUGUUUGUUUGUUUGUUUGUUUGUUUUUCACCUUACUGGUCCCAGUGUGUGUUACAGCUAGAUCCUGGAAAGAGAGCUGGCAGGAGUGUGCAGAAGAAUCCCAGCAGCUGCAUUUCUGUGCUGAGUUCCUGGGAGGACAGGAGGGGAUAACGUCAUUAUUGCUGCUGUUCCUGGCACUCUGCUCUGACUGGCAAGAGGGACUGGGCUGUUGUGUUGUUCUCACGGAAGGCCAUGGCAAUGGUACCCCUUGGGCCCUUGUUGCCUCACUACAGAUGCAUUUUCCUUGUGGUUUCAUAGUACCUAGAAGGAGCAAGCAACUCAGCUGGAUAAAUACACAUUUCCUGUUCAAGGGAUAA